rnacentral:lncRNA from 1 species
ACCGUGCAUUCGUUUUGGGCUAGUCAGGAGAAGCCAGGCUAUUAACAUGCUGAAAUUCCCGCGGUUCCCUCUGUAUUGUCCCUUCCCUGAACUUUGGGAAUGCCAUGUAUUAACCCCUCGAGAGCCUUUGAGGCACAGCACGCAGCUGGGGAAGCAGCAAUUGUUUUGAGUCCGGUAGGCAUAUGUCCCUUGUCCAGACCUUAUUGUCGGUUACAAAGUCGCCUGACUCAAAAGCCAUGGCCUGUGAACAGCCUGUCAAGAGGCCCAGCGGACGGGUUAAAAUAUUUCCUGAAGGUCACAUGGAGUACUUCUAUAGAUUUCUGACACUUUCUGGUAUAAGGUGGGAUCGAAAUGCAAACCAACCAACCAACCAAUAGUAUGCACUUUGCAUAAGUGCUUGUUGGAACUUUUAGAUACUUUGUUUUGUGGUGCUUACAGCAGGUGAGGUGACCUGUAAGCCCAAUCCAAGCUCUUACAAUCUACCUGUUCCUUGGGCUCCAAGUGAGAGUACAGUCCAUUCCACUAGGGCGUGAUCAAUUGUUCCAGGCAGUCAUUCAAACGUUGUAUUGAAUUU